AACGAACGCUGGCGGCAUGCCUAACACAUGCAAGUCGAACGAGACCUUCGGGUCUAGUGGCGCACGGGUGCGUAACGCGUGGGAACCUGCCCUUAGGUUCGGAAUAACUCCCCGAAAGGGGUGCUAAUACCGGAUAAUGUCUUCGGACCAAAGAUUUAUCGCCUUUGGAUGGGCCCGCGUUGGAUUAGCUAGUUGGUAGGGUAAAAGCCUACCAAGGCGACGAUCCAUAGCUGGUCUGAGAGGAUGAUCAGCCACACUGGGACUGAGACACGGCCCAGACUCCUGCGGGAGGCAGCAGUGGGGAAUAUUGGACAAUGGGCGAAAGCCUGAUCCAGCAAUGCCGCGUGAGUGAUGAAGGCCUUAGGGUUGUAAAGCUCUUUUACCCGGGAUGAUAAUGACAGUACCGGGAGAAUAAACUCCGGCUAACUCCGU
rnacentral:rRNA from 1 species